UACGUAGGAGGCGAGCGUUGUCCGGAGUUACUGGGCGUAAAGGGUGCGCAGGCGGUGGCCCGCGUGGGCGGUGAAAGCUCCUGGCUCAACUGGGAGAGGGCCGUCCAGACGGGGUCACUUGAGGGGCGGAGAGGUGAGUGGAACUGCGAGUGUAGAGGUGAAAUUCGUAGAUAUUCGCAAGAACACCAGUGGCGAAGGCGGCUCACUGGCCCGAUACUGACGCUGAGGCACGAAAGCGUGGGAGCAAACAGGG
rnacentral:rRNA from 1 species